rnacentral:rRNA from 1 species
ACUCCUACGGGAGGCAGCAGUGGGGAAUAUUGCACAAUGGGGGAAACCCUGAUGCAGCCAUGCCGCGUGUGUGAAGAAGGCCUUCGGGUUGUAAAGCACUUUCAGUUGUGAGGAAGGUGGUGUCGUUAAUAGCGGCAUCAUUUGACGUUAGCAACAGAAGAAGCACCGGCUAACUCCGUGCCAGCAGCCGCGGUAAUACGGAGGGUGCGAGCGUUAAUCGGAAUUACUGGGCGUAAAGCGCAUGCAGGUGGUUUGUUAAGUCAGAUGUGAAAGCCCGGGGCUCAACCUCGGAACUGCAUUUGAAACUGGCAGACUAGAGUACUGUAGAGGGGGGUAGAAUUUCAGGUGUAGCGGUGAAAUGCGUAGAGAUCUGAAGGAAUACCGGUGGCGAAGGCGGCCCCCUGGACAGAUACUGACACUCAGAUGCGAAAGCGUGGGGAGCAAACAGGAUUAGAUACCCUGGUAGCACAGAG